rnacentral:rRNA from 1 species
AUUGAACGCUGGCGGCAUGCUUUACACAUGCAAGUCGAACGGCAGCGCGGGCUUCGGCCUGGCGGCGAGUGGCGAACGGGUGAGUAAUACAUCGGAACGUGCCCAGUAGUGGGGGAUAGCUCGGCGAAAGCCGGAUUAAUACCGCAUACGACCUGAGGGUGAAAGCGGGGGAUCUUCGGACCUCGCGCUAUUGGAGCGGCCGAUGGCAGAUUAGCUAGUUGGUGGGGUAAAGGCCUUCCAAGGCGACGAUCUGUAGCUGGUCUGAGAGGACGACCAGCCACACUGGGACUGAGACACGGCCCAGACUCCUACGGGAGGCAGCAGUGGGGAAUUUUGGACAAUGGGCGAAAGCCUGAUCCAGCAAUGCCGCGUGUGUGAUGAAGGCCUUCGGGUUGUAAAGCACUUUUGGCGGGAACGAAAAGGACUGUGCCAAUACCACGGUUCGAUGACGGUACCCGCAGAAUAAGCACCGGCUAACUACGUG